AGAGUUUGAUCAUGGCUCAGAACGAACGCUGGCGGCAGGCCUAACACAUGCAAGUCGAGCGCCCGCAAGGGAGCGGCAGACGGGUGAGUAACGCGUGGGAACGUGCCCUUUGGUUCGGAAUAUUCCCGGGAAACUGGGAGCAAAACCGGAUAAGCCCUUCGGGGGAAAGUUUACGCCAAAGGAUCGGCCCGCGUUAGAUUAGGUAGUUGGUGGGGUAACGGCCUACCAAGCCUACGAUCUAUAGCUGAUCUGAGAGGAUGAUCAGCCACACUGGGACUGAGACACGGCCCAGACUCCUACGGGAGGCAGCAGUGGGGAAUAUUGCACAAUGGGCGCAAGCCUGAUGCAGCGACGCCGCGUGGAUGACUGAAGGCCCUAGGGUUGUAAAGUCCUUUCGACGGGGACGAUAAUGACGGUACCCGUAGAAGAAGCCCCGGCUAACUUCGUGCCAGCAGCCGCGGUAAUACGAAGGGGGCUAGCGUUGUUCGGAUUUACUGGGCGUAAAGGGCGCGUAGGCGGAUUUUUAAGUCGGGGGUGAAAUCCCGGAGCUCAACUCCGGAACUGCCUUCGAUACUGAAAGUCUGGAGCACGGUAGAGGUGAGUGGAAUUCCGAGUGUAGAGGUGAAAUUCGUAGAUAUUCGGAGGAACACCAGUGGCGAAGGCGGCUCACUGGACCGUUGCUGACGCUGAGGCGCGAAAGCGUGGGGAGCAAACAGGAUUAGAUACCCCGGUAGUCC
rnacentral:rRNA from 1 species